ensembl:snRNA U1 U1 spliceosomal RNA
AUACUUACCUGGCAGGGGAGAUACCAUGAUCACAAAGGUGGUUUUCCCAGGGUGAGUCUUACCCAUUGCACUCCGGGUGUGAUGACCCCUGCGAUUUCCCCAAAUGUGGAAAAUUCGACUGCAUAAUUUGUGAUAGUGGGGGACUGCGUUUGCGCUUUCCCCUG